UACGUAGGGUGCAAGCGUUGUCCGGAAUUAUUGGGCGUAAAGAGCUCGUAGGCGGUUUGUUGCGUCGGCUGUGAAAUCCCGAGGCUCAACCUCGGGCCUGCAGUCGAUACGAGCAGACUAGAGUGUUGCAGGGGAGACUGGAAUUCCUGGUGUAGCGGUGAAAUGCGCAGAUAUCAGGAGGAACACCGGUGGCGAAGGCGGGUCUCUGGGCAACAACUGACGCUGAGGAGCGAAAGCGUGGGGAGCGAACAGG
rnacentral:rRNA from 1 species